CUUACGCUCAAUCGUUGCUUCGGCGGGCUGCGGCCCUGUCCGCUCCCGGCGCCCCCCGUGGCGCGGGGAUGCGCCCGCCGAGGGACCAACCCAAACGCAUGGCAAACGAGUCUGUCCGAGUCGAUUGUGAAUCAGUCAAAACUUUCAACAACGGAUCUCUUGGUUCGGGCAUCGAUGAAGAACGCAGCGAAAUGCGAUAAGUAAUGUGAAUUGCAGAAUUCCGUGAAUCAUCGAAUCUUUGAACGCACAUUGCGCCCGGUGGCAUUCCGCCGGGCACGCCUGUCCGAGCGUCAUUGCAACAAUCAAGCCUGGCUUGGUGUUGGGGGCCCGUCGCGCCUGGCGCGACCCCCCCGGAACCCGUUGGCGGUGGCUCUCUGCCCCGAUCGUCGCGCAUGUUACGACGGGACGGAGGGCCGCCCGCCGAACCCCCCACGACGCGAAGUUUGACCUCGGAUCAGGCGGGGAUACCCGCUGAACUUAAGCAUAUCAA
rnacentral:rRNA from 1 species